AGAGUCUAACCCUCCAGCUCUGAGCUAGAACUGGACAGACUCCUGUGCCAAUCCUUCAGUGGCUCAGGGUGGUCUAAGAGAGCCCAUAGAGACCCCCAGUGGGACGGCAGAACCAGGUCUACAAGCACACACCGGCAUAGUUUGGAGAACCAGCAGCAGCAGAGGCCAGUGGCGAGACAGUCCCUAAGAGCUUGGGAGGAAAUUCCACGGACUGUGAGAUGAACCUGCCCUGGACAGUCACAAACCUACACAGGAGAAGCCAGUGGGUGUGAAGACGGCAAGGCCUUCUGGAGCUCUGCAACCAGCCACACUUGCCUUGACCUUGAACCUGAACUUGCCUGGGCCAGAACUGGAUGAAGUCACAUAUGCCAUUAGCAAGUCUUUACCACUGGGGUCCUGACUCCAUUCCAGCCUCCCGAGGGCCAGGGCUGCAGGGCUUCAUGCCUGGCCCCUCAGAGCACCUAAGCCUGACAAGUAGGGGUGACUGCUUACUGGCCCUGUCACCUGGGAUGUCUAUCCAUCCUGGGGUCUCAAUUUCACCAUAGAUAAAUGAAGAGAUUGAACCCCUCUCAACUGUGUGGGGUAGAAGAGCUCCCCCGAGUGCCCAGAGCUGCUGGCUCAGGGGAAGAAGGCUGUAUUCUCUUCCCUCUUUCCCAGUGGCCUGCCUGGACACGCCAAGGCCCACCCACUUGCCACUCUGGGCCCGAGGUGUAAGAGUGGGACAGAGGGGCACUCACACAAUAGCGUCCCUGGGACACUCGGCGGAGGUCCUGUACCAUGUCACCAGCCUCCUGAUGGGAAUGGCCCCCUUGAAGUACUCCAGGCAGCACUCUCGGCCUACGUUGGUGGCUCGAGCUAGAAGAGCAAUAGGAAACAGGUGUCCGAAGGGUCUGCGCAUGUGCCUGGGGACCCAUGGAGCGCCCCCAUGUGUGGCUGUGUGAACCUAUGGACGAUAACUGCGCGUGCUUUUCUUUGUCUGUAUGCUGGUUUUUCCUGGUGUGUUUGUGUGUGUGUGUGUGUGUUACUGUGGUGGUGGUGGGGUGUGUGUGCGUGUGUAGGCUCUUUGUGUUUGCAUGUUUGUAUAUUCAUCUGUGUGUAAUUGCAUCCCAGCUGCCUGUAUCUUGGAACCUUAUUUCAACUUCCCUUUUCUAACCUAAAUAUAAAAGUCUCCUUUCAUACGUUCUUGGAA